CAAAGGGUGCCUGAUUAAAGGGAUAUUUUGAUAGAAUAUAUAAUGUAGAACAAACUCUGCUCCUUUGA